GACGAACGCUGGCGGCGUGCUUAACACAUGCAAGUCGAACGGAAAGGCCCUGCUUUUGUGGGGUGCUCGAGUGGCGAACGGGUGAGUAACACGUGAGUAACCUGCCCUUGACUUUGGGAUAACUUCAGGAAACUGGGGCUAAUACCGGAUAGGAGCUCCUGCUGCAUGGUGGGGGUUGGAAAGUUUCGGCGGUUGGGGAUGGACUCGCGGCCUAUCAGCUUGUUGGUGGGGUAGUGGCUUACCAAGGCUUUGACGGGUAGCCGGCCUGAGAGGGUGACCGGCCACAUUGGGACUGAGAUACGGCCCAGACUCCUACGGGAGGCAGCAGUGGGGAAUAUUGCACAAUGGGCGGAAGCCUGAUGCAGCAAAGCCGCGUGCGGGAUGACGGCCUUCGGGUUGUAAACCGCUUUCGCCUGUGACGAAGCGUGAGUGACGGUAAUGGGUAAAGAAGCACCGGCUAACUACGUG
rnacentral:rRNA from 1 species